CUACAUAUUAAUUAUUAUAUUAUUACUUUGUGCAAAAAACACACAUGGAAAAGUUUGAUAGUGCUUUUAAACAUUGUAGCGCAUAUCACUGAUCCCAUGCUUUUGCAAGUCUUUCAUCUUUUUGUGUUUGACUAUACUUUUUAUGGGUAAGUAUGUACCGUAGGUUUGCGCCAUCUUUAUUUUGGGUAGAUGGUAUGGAAUUGUGUUUACUGGGACACAGAUACUAUAAUUUAGAAUAUGGAAUGGG